ACCCUAGAAUGUAAGUGAGAAAAGGCCUUAAUGAUCAUUUAAUCUAACCUCCUCUUAGGCUCCUGUUUUGUAGCGGGGAAAAGAGAUUCUAAGAAAUUAAGAAAUUGCCAGAAGUCAUACAAUUAAGUCAUUGUUACCCGUUCAGGGAGGUAGAAAUAGAACUUGGGAUUUUCAGAUUAUACAUUUAACGUUUUUGGGGUUUGGUCAGGAAGUAUCGUCUUAUAUGUCGAAAUCUGCCUCCCAGUAAGUCCAGCUUUUUGGUCCUCCCGUUAGGGUUAAGCAGAAUUAGAUGAACUUCUCUUUCACGAGAUGUUCUCCAGAUAGUUAAAGGCAGAGCUGGAAGCUCCCAGGUUCCCCCAAAUCCAGACUAAACAUUCCCGGCUCCUUCACCUGGAACCUUGUAUGACAUUCAGGAGCAUCCUUUUCUCAGUUAUCCCCUCCUCCAUCAUCAUGGUGACCACCAGCCAGAUCACACCCACUAGCCCUCAUUGGCUCUUGGCUGGUUCAUCCCUAGGGAUAACAAAUGCUUUCCCUUCAAGGAGGAGACCACAAUCACUGGGUUUCCAAGAGGCAUGGCAGUGACUCAGUCAAUGAGCAUUUAUUAGGGCUUUCUUUGUACCCGGCGCUGUGCUAAGUGCUACCUACAGAUAUCAUUUCCACAUUAUGGGACUCAGAAUUAAAUGGCCUGCCCAUGGCCACAUAUCUAGCAUAAGAGCUAGGAUUUGAGGCUGGUCUUCUUGAACCCAAGCCCGGCGUUCCCUCCACAACACAAAGGACCCUGCCUCCCACCCAAGGGGCUUCUGGAGCCCCGGAAAUUCUUAAUGCCUCAGUUUUCUUCAUCUGUGGAAUGCAAGCACUAAACCUCCCUCUAGAGGGCUCUGAGAAAUAACUGACCAGCACAGAUAAAAAAAAAAGUGGAUAGUGAUCUUAGUUCCUUAAGCCUUCUUCACAAAACACGGAUUUCAUUUUCAUAAAGACCCUGAGGAGUUUGACAGGAUGGACAUUCUUGUCCCUAUGUUACAGAUAGUGGGGGUAGGGCCGGUAAUGUCCAGGGACAGUUCCAAGGUCUCAGAAUGAGGUAAGGACAGAAUCAGGAAGAGAGCCCAGGGCCUCAGACUCCCCGGCCAAAGCGCUGUGGAAAACCUGGGAUCAUCCAUCAGAGCUGGGAGGGAAUCUUCCAGGUCACUCACUCCAUCUUCUUCGUUUUACAAAGAAACAGGAGCAGGGAGGUUAGAUAACGUGGCUAAUAUGAAUUUGAACCCAAGCCCUCUGAUUUCAGAGCCGGCAGCCUUUCCACUUCACCUUUCUGCUACCUCCCCCUCUUCAUUGAUGAGCAGCCUUGAUGGAGGCAAGGCGAAAAUCAGAGAUCCAUAGGGUAGCAUCUGUUACUUUGUGUCACAGGCCAGAUGAUCAGGGACCCGUGGUUCCACUAAUAACCUAAAUGGUUUCGGCUGGGAACUAGACAAAGGACCCAGUGGGAUGCUUUGGGUGGAGAGAUAAGUACUUUAAAAUGAGCAUCUUAUCGGGUUUCCUCAUUGGAGGGGAAAAACAGGAUAAUCAGCCCUUCGCCAGAGCCAACUGGGUGUUGUCUAUUCCGUGUAACACUGUAAGCCGAGGAAAAUGUAUUGUAAGGGUUUGGAAGGGAGAAGGGGAAGAAGCCCUUUUCCAACAUUUCUCCUGGCAAAAACAUCCUAAUGGCCCUUCAAGUAUCAUCUGCUUAUGUAUGGCGCUGUAUGGUUUAUCAGCUGUAGCUAUUCCCUCACGUUCUCCACAAUUAUUAUCCAUAGGGUACUGAUCCUAUGACUUCAUUAAUGUAGGGAAUUCCCAGAAAAAGGAAUCUCCCUCUACCAGGGCUGGUCAGGACCUCUCUACAAUUUAUAAUCUUUGAGAGCAGAUCGGACAUCCCUGGGGGCACUCUAGUUGGGAAGUAUUUAACAAAAUAAAGAUAAAACAUGUUACAUUUUAAAACUAAGUCAGGUGAGGGACCACAGGGAUCCUUAAGUACUGUGCCCUCAUUUCUAUUUCUAUUAUGCAUUUUCUCUUUUUUAGAUGUUUAUAUAGUUUAUAUGUUAUAUAAUUUCUAUUUUUUAUAUUACAGAGAUUCUUCUAGGCUGAGAAGGAAAAUGACUGGUCCAGUGUCACACAGCCAGUACUUGUUUCCAUGUUUUCGUGGUUAAGAAAAUUUUCACCAAACACCACUUCCUUUUCAGAAAGCUAAGAUUUUACAUUAAUUACAGAUGAGGAAGCGGAAGAUAAGGCUUGUCUAAAGUCCCACAGAUAAAUGAGAGCUGGCACCCAGAUCUCCUGCUUCAGAGUUAAGUACUAUUUCUUUCUCUGUGCUGGGCUGCCUGACCCUGUAUCCUCAUCUUUUAGAUGACAACCUAUCAGACAUCUUCCUGAAGGGCUUCCUUUCUACCAUAGCCAUGAGUUAUGGAGUCCCAAGUCCCAGGAGCUGUUCUGUUCCUCACUAGUGCUGUGACCUCAGGCAGGACGCAUCCCUUUCUGGGUUUCAGUUCCUCCACCAAUGGGACUAGAGCAGGGGCUCUUAACCGCUCUCUGAUAGCAAGGAGUGGGGCGCUGUUUUUGCUAAAAGAAGAAACAACUUCAGUCUCCCGCUCUCGGCUUUGACUCUGCUCUCCAGGGUGAAGAUUUCUGAAAGUGUUUGUUCUAGGGUUUCUUCCAGGUCUGACCUCUCAUGAUUUCCUAAGUCCUGGAGGGGAGAGAAUGUCGAAUCUGGAGUAAAAUCCAGAUUCAGCUCAAACUUGAACUUCACGAAUGAUUGCAUGUAGAAGGCACCCCCUUCUCUGAGCCUUAGUUUCCUUUAAAAUGGGAUUACACUAGGACCUAUGAGGAACCUUGUAAUUCUCAAUCUGUGAUCCUAUGAGCUCUCCUGGCUUUGAGUCUUAUUACCCUGUGAUUUCACUUAAAUGGCCCCCUUGCUGCCAUGGGUGCUCAUUCUUAGAUAUCCGAGGGCUGAGGAUAAUAGCAGGUAUAUGCUAUUCUCUCCGUGUGCUCGGAGGCACUAAUUUUCCCUUUUUCAUGGCAUGAUUAUCCCUUUCUCCCCUUCUUUAUGUUUAAUCUCUUCAAAAAGAUGUGAAAGUGGGGGGGGGGGGAGGGGGAAAAGGGGAGGAGGAGGAGAGAGAAUAAGACAGAGACAAAGAGAGACACAUAGACACACAUACUGAGAGACAGAGACACACACCUAAAGACAGACAGAAACAGAGAGACACAGCAAGAGAGAUACACAGAGAGCAAGAAACAUAAAGACAUAGACUCACAUAAAGAGACAGAGACAAUGACAGACACACACACACAGAGCCAGAGUCAGAGAGACAGAAACAGAGAGAUACAGAAAGACAGAGAGACAGACAGAUACACAGACACACAGAGAGACAGACAGAAACAGAGGGAAACAGAGAAAUAGAGAUAGAUACAGAGAGACAGACUGACAGAAACAGAGACAGAAAGUCAGAGACAGACAGGACAGGGCCAGCACUCAGCUCAGGGGCACUUAGGGAGCCCAGAGUGGAAGCAGACAGGGAAAGGCAAUGCUGCUAGUGCAGAGAGGAAGACACAGAGCAGGACUGGAGACCUCAGAGAGGAAACUACCUGGCUCUCCCUCUUCGACAGCCACAGAUUUUUUCACCUUCUGCUCUUUCUUUGACAAUGUGCUAACAGUAACAACUCUGGAUGGGGGAGAUUCCUUACCAGCUGCCAGCAAUAUAGUCUUCCUAGCCUAAAGGCAACAGAAAGAUACCCUGGCUCCAAAUCCCAGACAGUCACCACAUGCUCCAAAGCUCAUCAUUGGGAUAUCCUGAUUAAACAGGGCGUUAAUUUUAAAGAGGCAUGAAAAAAAAUGAGGAGUGAUUUUGUUAGCUCCUGAUCGUCAUCCAUCAGAGAGAGCGCGCAGUCUGCCUGAGCCCUUCAAAAACCAAUACUCCGGGUGGGAGGGAGGGAAAAAUCAAUUUUUGUUCACUGAAUAAAAAAUUAAAAUGGAAAAACUCCAAUAUUGUGGGAAUUGAGUUAUUUUUCAUCUGUAGGGCGAGAUUUCAUUGAAACUGACUUGGUACAAACUUCACACCUGCCGGGACAAGACUUUGAUCUUUCACCUUUGAGUUGAUUCUUUAGGAAUGAAUGAAUGAAUGAAUGAAUGAAUGAAUCAAAUUGCUGUAAGGGAAUAUAUAAAAAUAUAAGAAAUUAUUUUACAGGGGAUAUUUUGGCAAGUAGAACAUUCAAGCUCCUGAGGACAGGAACUGUCUCCAUUAAAUUUUCUAUCCCUUGCUCUCACUUGCAGAGUGCUCUAUACACAGCAGGUGCUGGCUAAAUGUUUGUGGGUAGGAUUGAAUUAUAUGGGGACUCUUGAAACUGGUAAUACUGGCAACGUGGGCUGCUUGGAGGGUCCAAUUACUAGUGAUGGAAUGCACAAAGAAAGAGGGAAGGCAUUAGUCACACAAGGCAUGGCUAACUUUGUGAUGUUACAAGGGAAGAAGCUGGUAAGAGGAAACCUCUGAGAGGAACUGAGAAUACAUUUGUGAGUUGAUAGUUUGGAAACUUCCUCUAAUAUAGAUCACUGCAAUUUAGUAAAUAAGUCAGAGUAAAUCACAGAGUGAUUUUAACAUGGAUUAGCGACAGAACCUCAACCCAGUUCUUCCAGAACUCAACUACCACUCUUUAACAUGCUGCCUCCAGAUGAGGAAUUGUCUCAAUGCUGGUCAACAUCUUUUGUUUUAUAAUUUGAGGGACUUGUCUAGAGCCCUGAAAUGUGAUUUGCCCCUGGUUAUAUGACCAAUUCCUGAGAGGCAAUACUUGAACACAGAUCUUCCUGUAAUGGUCAUUUUUUUUUUUUUUUUUUUUUUUUUUUUUGAGGCAACUGGAGUUCUGUACUGUCUGAGACUAGAUUCGUGUGUUUCUCCCGGAGCCCUCCUGACUCCAGGGCCUGAGCUGCACCACCAAGCUGCCCCCACUAAUGGUCAUUUGAAGAACUAUCUCGUGGAGAGAAAGAACAACUACAAAAGAGAAAACUUAUCCAACAGUUUAGCAAUUUAGAAAGCCUAAUGCUUCAGCCACUUAAAAUGCUCUUUUCAUUCCACUGAUUGGGAAUUGCUGAUGAGGGACAAAGAGAUAGGUAGGCUACAUACACAGAUAAAGAGAGGGAAAGUCUCUACCGAGGGAGAGGGAGCUCCCCCUCCAGAACAGACAAAGCCAAGUGUUUGGAAAGUUUUCCAGUUUCAAUUGCAGCUCUCUUCCCUCUCCCCUCCUCCCCCCCCCCUCACCCCCCCAGCACCAGCCUUGGGCUCAGCUCCAAGGAUCUUUUACAUUAAGAUCCUAAUGAAGAAUAAUUAACAGCUUAAAGGAAGCUAGUAUUUAAAAAGUGGUUAAUUUUUCAUUGCCUGCUUUUUAUAUUCUUAACUGCAAAAUCAUUAAUUUAAACAGUUAAAUUCAGCAGAGGAAGUCGGGGUAGGGGUGGGGAACUCUUUAAUUUUCAAAGAUUAAUCUGGGGCAGGAAGAUUUGGGAUUUGUGCCUUGAUCCCACAAGACAGUAAAUUCCCUAAAGGGAGGGAGCUGGUUUCUAAAAAAUAUUUCCCCCACCUCCAUCUCCCACCCCCGAGUUAGCAUCCUGCCUCCACUUUUUUGUUUUUUUUUGUUCCAGCCCCAGGAUUUCAUUGGUAUGGGGAACUUCUUCCUCCAUUAGUGGAAAUGAGCAGAGAAAUAAUUUAGCCUUAAAAACGUUUCUCUUCACUACUAUGUAAUCCAGGGCUAUCUACUGGCCUCACUACUGUUCCUCACAGCAGACACUCCAACCUCCCUCCUCAUUUCCAGUUCUUGACUACAAGUCGUAGCUCAAGUCCUUCUUUAAAAAAGUCUUUUUUUUUUUUUAAUAUGUGACCCUGGCCAAGUGAUUUAAUCUCUGUCUCAACUUUAAAAUGGGGAUAAUAGCACCUACUUCCCAAUGUUACUGUGAAGAUCAAAUUAAGAUAUUUGUAAAGGUCUUAGUCUAGUACCUGGCACACAGAAGGAGCUUAAUAAAUGCCAGUUUCAUUCCUUUCCAGAUGAAAGGAAAUUUCACCUGAGAUCAUCUCUAAUUAUCUGAUAUAUAUCUUAUUUGUACACAGUUGUUUGCAUAUUGCCUCCCCCUUUAGAUUGUGAACUUCAUGAAAGCAGGGACUAUUUUUAUUUUUCUUUCUAUCCCCAGCACACAUGUUAGGUACUUCUUGAUUGAUUCAGGGAAAGUCUUUAUGCCUGAGACACCACAGGGUGUCCUGUCUCUAGUGACACAGCUAGUAUGUGUGAAGAGCAGGAUUUGAGUUCAGAUUAUCCUAACUCCAAGAGAGGACUACUAUCCAUCCCCGAUCUGUAACCUCUUGCCUCUUUAUAUUACUGUGUUUGUAAAUGUUGCUGAAUUAAGUUGGUUUAAAAUUAUCAAGGUGUGUACUCUGAUGACACAAAGAGAUGCCAUUCAUUGAAAAGAGCACUUUAUUUGGAGUUAGAAUCCAGAUCUCAGUCAUCCCCUCUUGCCUCUAGGAUAAACUCUUCAUUCCUCUGUCUGGCAUUCCAAGUCCUAACUUUAGCUUCAAUCUGAUCUUUACAAUCUGAUCUCAUACUGCUGCCUGUUGAGGGCCCUAAGUUCCUGCCAAACUGACCUAUCCAUGUUGGGGUUGUGCUGGACAAUCAGCUCAGAUGCUCUAUGGAGCCCACCGCUAAAUUUCCAAUGUGAACAUUUACACCUCAGAAAUCUGCAAGGGCCAAGAUCAAGGCUUGGCUUAUUUGUUUUCCUGAUUGUCAAGCUGAAGAAAGUGAUGGAGAAAAUGUUCAUAAUGCACAUUAAAUUUAAAAUUACAUUGUGCAUACUAAAUUUCCCCUUUUCUGGAUAGCUGAUCGUUAAAUGUUUACCAGUACACUCCCCAGUAUAUAUGGCAUCUCCUCCUACCUUUAUGCCUUCAGCACAGGCUAUUACACUUCAUGCCUGAAAAGACACUACCUCUGGAAUCUAUUUCAAGAUUCAGUUCAAAUGCCAUCCCCUGUAUAAAGUCUUUUCUCAUCUUUCUAUUUUUUCAGUCCUAUCCCUCAUCCUCCAUUAUUCUGAAGAUACUUUGUAUUUUCUAUUGACUUAUAUAUAUUUGUAUUGUUUCACUCUAGUAAAAGGAAAAGUCUUUAAGGUCAGAGAUUAUUUUCCUCCCUCUUUUCCUUUCCUUCCCUCCCUCCUUCCUUUUCUCCUUUCUUUUUCCUUUCCUUCCUCUCUCUCCAUCAUCCCUCCCUCCCUCCUUUCCUCCUUUUCCCCUUUUCUUCCUCUCCUCCCUCCAUCUCCAUCAUCUCUCCCUCUGCCUUCCUUCCUUCACUUCCUUUCUGUCUCCAUCAUCCCUCCUUCCUUCUUUAUUUCCUCUGUCUCUCCCUCUUUUCCUUCCUUCCUUUUCUCCCUCUCUUCCUUCCUUCCUUCCUUUUCUCCCUCUCUGUUUCCAUUAUCCUUCCCUCCUUCCUUCCUUCUCUCCUUCAUCCACUCCUCCCUCCCUUUUUCUUUCCCUCCCUCCUUCCCUCCUUUUCUUUCUUUUUUCCUUCCUUCCAUGCUAUAAUAUCUGACAUACCAUAGUAGACUUUAAUCAAUUCUUUAAUUUUAAUAAAGACCUUUAGUGAAUAAUUGAUUUAAUACAAAUGCUGAAAUAAAUGAAUGAGCUCUGACUUAUUAAACUCUUUGACCUUGGAGAAGUUGCUGUAACCCUUUGGGACUCAGUUUCUUCCUCUAUAAAAUGAAGAGGGGUCAGACUAGGUGACCUCCAAUCCCCCAUCCAUUCCAGUUUUGAUAUUCUUUACUUCUACAAGUCUAGAAAGCAGGACCAAAGUAACUCAUUUAAUCUCCCACCGGAGGAUGAGCUAGGUUGACUCUUUAAGUUAUAGCCUGAGAUAACAUUAUCACCUGGACCUGAAAGCCUUAUGGAAGUCCAACAGAUCCCCUCUCUUUCCCCCCCAAUUCUUCCUUCCUUUGCCUAAGGAAGUAUAACAAAAUUCAAGAGAGAGAGAGAGUGCUACCUUAACCUGGCAGAGGCCCAAGUGCAGCCAGCCAGCCAGCCCCCUUCAGCCUGUUGUCCCCAAAGCCUUUGGAAAAGACAAGUUCACCCUUUUCAGAGCAGGCCUAUUGGAAAAGAAGUGAAAGCUCCCACCAAUUUCCCAGAACUUCUUGCAUGCUAAUGGCUACUACUACACAGAAUGUGAAAUCAGGAAACACUAAUUCCCCCAGAAUAGCCUGAAUAAUCCCUUCCUCCUCCCCGUGUUCCAUAAUUACUCUAUGUUAAAUACGAUCCCAACCAAGAGCCACAUGAAUACACUUUUGUUGUCUGGGGAUGGUUACUUAGCCAAGGUGUACAUAUGGACUGCAUACGAUUUCUAAAGAAUUAGGCAAGAUUUAUUAACAAUCCCGCCCAUGGUAUUUCCCUUCUUUGCCACUCCCUCCCCCACCCCCCAACUACCGUAUGGGAAUGUCUCCUGAAAUUCUCCAACUCCUACUUUUCCUCCCAGCUCGGCUCCCCGAGAUGGCACCAACCCAAAUGAAAGGAUCGGCUUUUGGGUUAAGGGUCAUGAUGAGUAUACUGAGACCCAGAAAGGUUAAGUGAUGGGCCUAAGCAAGAGACAGAGCUAGGACAAUCAUUCAGGGAAAACUGCAAAUGAAGACUACAUAUGAAGAUGCCGGAUUUUCUUUUUCAUUUCAACUCAUUCAUUCCAUUUCAUUGAUUUUGCAAUCAGAAGGAAGAUGUGAGUGUUUGGGGUUUAAAAAUAUGAAAACUUCACAACCAAAUUAAAAAAAAGUGAGCAUCUAGGAGCCCAUCCAAACUCUUAUUCUCUCCAGAACCAAGCUGAAAUGACCUCCAUAACAUAAGGCUGAGCUUGUCAGGGAUGCAAUGUUCAAAGCACUCUAUUUGUCUCAAGAGGACUCAGCUUUCAAUUCUGGAUCAGCCUCUUGCUCCCUGGGUGACAUGGUUUUCUCUGAAGACCUCAGUUUCCUUUUCUGUAAAAUGAGAUGCUUGGAAUAUAAGAUUGCUCCCAAUCCUGAAUAUAAUCCUGUUACCACAUCCCAAGCUGGAGUCACAGAAAUAGGUUAUCUCUUCUCCUCCUCAAUUAGUUAAGUACAUAGUUGUCAACAUCUUCCACAUGUCCAAUACAAUUUGAUUCAACAAGCAUGUAUUAAACCUAUUUAGUGCCAGUCAUGAAGCCUGUGGUUACAUGUAUUUGAAUUUAUAUAUAAAAAAAAUACAACCCAAUGCAAAUGUACAGUAUAAAUUCAAAUAACGCCACUAUUUUACAGGAUUCGUUAUUAUAAAACUAUGGGGGAGCUAGUCUUGUGUACUAUGAAGAAAAAUAGAGAUUCUAUGAGAUGGGAGUCAGAAGAGAGUUUUUCAGGCAUGGGAAAGAGUCUGUGCAAAGACAUGGAGGAGGGGGAUAUAAUGUCUUAAGGUUGUGUGCUGCAUGUUAUUGCUUAAUGUUGUAGUGUAAUGUUGUAAGUGGGUAAAUGCCAAGUAGGUUAUUUUUGGCUAGAACAUAAAGUGUGUAAAAGGGAAUAAUGUGAAAUAAAUAUGUAAUGAUAGGUGAGAACCAGCUGGCAAAAGACUUUAAAUGCCAAAUGGGGGAAUUUGUAUAGUGCCCUAGAGGCAAGAAGGAGCCAGUUACAGUUCCAGAGCAAAAGAACGAUCUAACUUAGGCUAACCAACCAGCCCAAUCCUCUUCAGAGCACAAUUAACACCACAAAGGCAGUGGGAUAUAGUGGGGAAAGUGCUGGACUGGCAACCUUGAGACCUUAUGGGUAAUUGUGCCACAAUUAGCCGUGCAACCUUGAAGAAAUCAGUUCCCUAUUGAAGGCCUCCAUUUCUGCUUCUGAAUAUGUGGGGACUCCAAGUAAUUUCCAUUCAACAAAUGGUUAUUAAAUUUCUGCUAUGUCCUAAAUGCUGGAGAAACAAAGACCAAAAAUGAAACAGGUCCUGCCCUUAAGGAAUUUACAAUCCACUAAUUUAUAAAGAAUUAACAAUCUAUUAGGUAAAAGAGGCCAUUUUCUGCCUCUUUUCUUACCCUGACAAUCACUGAUUGUGUCACUGUCUCAGUCAAACUGAGACCUGGGAGGUCAAGGCUUCCCACUGCAUCCAGGGCCAUCUCCAGUCCUCCUGAUCUAUAUCUGGCCACUGGAUCCAAAUGACUCUGGAGGGGAAAGUGAGGCAAGUGAUUUUGCACAGCCCUCCCUCACUGAAAGCCCAAUUCACCAGUCAGUCACGGUCCUCUUUGAAUAUAAAAGACAAACAACAACCCUCUUCAGACUCCUUUUACAAGACAUUUUCUCUACAAGUGGCAAUGACCAAUUCUAUUUUCUCUAGGCAGUAACUUUUAAAAUAAUAUUUGAGGAGGCUAAUCAUGUUUUAAUUAUACUUAUGAAAUCUAGGCAUUUUGGUGAAAAAAAAGCAAGUGUUGGAUGUUAUAGAAAUACAAAUUUUAGAGUUGGAAAAGACUUAAGCGAUAGAUCACCUACUUUAUAUUAAUUAUAAAUUAUAUAAAGUGUAUACACUUUGGAUUUGUUAAGAUGCUGAUUUCUUUGUAGGUUGUAAGUUCCUUGAGGGCAGGACCUGUUUCUUUUCUUUUUUUUUUCCUUUUUGUAUUUCCAGCAUUUAGACCAUAGCAGAUGGUUAACAAAUUUGAAUUGAAAAUUUUCUGAUAGCUUCCAUUUGUAGAUGUAGGAAUGGAAGCCUUGAGUGGGGAACUGAUUUCUUCAAGGUCACCCAGCUAAUUUGUGGCAUAGUUACUCUCCUGAUUGUCAGUCCUGUGCUUUCCCCAUUAUAACACCCUGUCUCUGUAAUGCUGAUUAUAUGCUGCAGAAGAAAAUUUUGAUUUUUACAUGAAAACAAAACUGGGUAAGAUGCUCUUUUCCUCUUCUCCCUGUACUCGGGCACACAUAUGCACACACACAAACACACACACACAGCAGUUAGCUUUCCUCUCAUGCCCACCCUUAAGGAAAAAUCAGUUUUUUGAAAAGGGGCAUUUGACCACCAAGGUCUUGGGUCUUGAAUUCCCAGGCUGGGAACAAGAGUCCAACCUCCCAAGUGGGCUGCCGUCCCAGAUUGCUACUGGGCUCUGAGAGUUUUGUCCCUGAAGUCUAGGACUUUGAGACAAUGAGCUAGUCUGCAAGUUUUUCCAGUGAUAUCAUGAAAAGCUGGCCAGGCGUAGAGAUGCAGCAUGCAGGAAAAGCUGCCUCCAUCCAAGCCCGCCCUCUGCGACAGAGCAGGGGGAGACCUCUACCACAGCCAAAUUCUCAGCAGACCGCUCACUUUUGUCACUUACUAGCUGUGUGACCCUGGAUAAGACAUGUACUCCUUUUUGGGAUUUGAGUUUUCUCCUUUAUAAAUCAGUUGGAUUAAGUGAUCUCUAAUGUCCCUUUUUAAUGUCUCUAGAAACCCAGGAUUCUUUUUCCUACAGGCUAAAAAUUGCAGGUCCUGAGGACAAAUACACAAAGAUGCUCAUAUGUUUUGGUGAAGGUUUGUUCUCACUGCAAAGCCCCUAAACCCACCAGGAGUCCUGCUUUGCUGAAACCUGAAGUCGGAGCAGCUAAGUGGGGCCGUGGUACCCAGAGUACCCAAUCUGGAGUUCUGAAGAGUCACUUUUCUUAAUUCCAAUCUGACCUCAGACAUUGAUUUUGGGCAAGUCACUUCACCUUGUCUGCCUCGAUUUUCUCAUCUGUAAAAUGAGCUCGAGAAGGAAAUGACAAAUCACCCAAUAUUUUAAACAAGAAAACCCCAAGGGAAAAUGACUGAAUAACAGAAGUGGAUCCAUGUGGUGAGUAGACGCUCCAGCUGGGCCCUCACUAGGGUACAAACUAGAGGUGUUCAUUCAUGCAUUCAACAGCUAUGUAUCAAGGGGAAGGCAGUGAUGGAGAUACAAAGAUGGGCAAGUAUGGCUCUUGUUCUCAAGGAGUUCAUGGAUCAAAGUGUGCCUGUUGUUAUGAGGAAGAAUAGGAAAGACUAGGCCAAUGAUCAGCACUGGAGACAAAAUUCAGAUGGUCCCUCUCUUUCAGAAUACAAUUACAGUCUUACAGUUGAAAUACUAAUAAUAACAAAAAUGAUAAACUCAUAUUUAAAUGACAUUUUAAGGUAUAGAAUUCAUUUUCAUGAUGACAAUCUUAUGAUGUCCUUAGGGGGGGAAAAAAAACUAUUCCAGUUCCUUUAUAUGUGAAGAAAUUGAAUGAAUAAGCAUUUAAAUGCUAAAAGGAGCCUUGAAUGUCAUCCAGUCCAAAGCUUAUUAAACUGUGGGUUGUGAUCCCAUGUGGUAACUGAAUAUUGAGAAAUUAUGAUUUUUAUCAGUAAAUACUGAUUUGUAUACCAAUUUUAUAUACUUAUCUAGAGGGAUUAUGUAAAAAAUUCUCCAGUAAAAAGAAAUCACAAGUGGAAAAAAGUUUAAGAAGCCCUACUUCUAGUUCAACUCUCCCAUUUUACAGAGAAGGAAGGUGAAGUGCCUGGCACACAGUAGGUGCCUAAUGAAUGUGGGCUGAUUGAUUGAGCAAGGUCAUCAACUUGUUUCCAAACUCAGAUGCUGUGAGUCUAAAUCUUUCCACUGCUCUCUUCUUCAUCCCCUAUUGCUAUUUCAGGAGAAAAUGAACCCCUAGCCUAUGCUUUAUUGACUCGAGUCCAUUUCCAUUUUCCUCAAAUCCAAACUUUUCCCCCAGUAUCCUUGAAAUAUCCCACAUUAUAAUUUGUAUUUCCACAUACAACACAGGCAUUUCUGAGAGAUGCUUGAUACAAGUCACUGUAUGGGACUCUGAAAAAAUAAAAGACUGAGGCAGAACCUCUUAUGCAAGGUGUUAAUAAAAGGCUAACACUUUUACAGAGACUUGGGUCUGGCCCAAGAAGACAAUUCAGAAGAUUACCCAUUCAUGGAAUAUUAGAUGUGGUAGUUUUUUUUUUUUUUUUUUUUUUUUUUAAAAAGAGAUCAGCUACAUCAUUCUGCUCAUUUUCCAGCUGAAGAAACUGAGAUUCUGACUGACGGUUCACCCCUCAAGAAAGCUUUACUGGCUCCCUAGGGAUGAAUCCUAUAAUGGCAUUCAUGUUGCUUUCUAUGAUUAGAUACCUUCAUACUUUUCAGAGUGCUUUGAGUCAAGAAGAUCUUUAUUCAAGUCAUUCUAUAAGUUGCAGAGAAAUUGUUGACUUGCACUGGUCUCCUCAACUGAGAAUUCCCUAUACUAAAGAAAUCACAAGUUCAUUUCCUAUCAUUUAUAUCUGGUAAUCUUAUCGUAUUCACUCUACAACCUGGUGAGAUAAGUAACACAGGGCAUCACUUCAUUUAACAGAUGAGAAAACUGAGGUACAGAAAAGCUAAGUGAAUUUCAGAAGGUCACAACGUAGGUUUAUUCUGAACCAGAGAUAACAUGCAACCUCUCUAAGUCCUAGAUCUGGAAAUUGUGAAGAGGCAAAUUUAGGUUUGAUGUCGGGAAAAAAAAACCCUGUUAAUUAAAGUAGAAUGGGCUGCCUGGGGAUAUCACAUGAGUUGUCCCUUAUUGGAGAUCUCUGGGCAAAGGCUGAAUGGCCUCUUGUUGGGCUUGUUGAAGCAGGGAUUCCUUUUUAGGUACGAGUUGGACUGGACAGCCAUUGCGGUCCUUGCCAACCCUACAGUUCUGAGAUUCUGCAGUCUUAUCAAGGCCAUACUAUUCUCAGGGCUAGAAAAAAAUUCUUUAUUAUCAGUGAUACUAACAUGUGAAAAUCAAUACUGUUUUCUUUGUUUUCUUCUUUUCCCUCUCCUACUAUUUAUGGCCCUUUCCCUAAACCCUUCCCCCAAUCUCCCCAAAGCCUUAAAAGCAGGGUUUGAAUGUAAAGUGAACCUUUUCUAACAAGCAAAUGGGACCAGUUCAUCUCUCCACCCUUUCUCCCACCCCAAUGGCUCAGGUUUAAAGUAGUGUUUUUUGUGAGUAAUGAGUUCCAUUAACAACUCCCUUCCUGGUAUUCCAGCUCUUUCCCCAGCCCAUAGAUGUUAAAUCAGCUCUGGAGAAUACACAAUGGAGAGAUAAAGUCUACCUUUAAUAAAGGGCUUUGAUAGAUUCAAAAGCGAAACUCCCCAAACAGUUCCCACUCUCCUUUCCACUCAAUCCAGCUGCCAAGGAUGUAUUACCACAUGCCUUUUCACUCAUAUCAGUAAAACUACACCUACUUUUAUGGGGAUGGGGAACCUGAGGCGGGAGUGGUGGGAAGAAACUCUCUCUUGUUUGUAUCUUCCAACGAACAUUUAUCAAUAACUCGCCACAUGUAAUGCAUUCGGCAGUGAAUCUGUUAUCUGGGAUGGCUGGGAAAUUUGUGGGGCAUUAUACUUUGUAAAGAUGAUAUGGUAGAAAGGAUAUCUAAUAAGACUAGAAAAUGUCUGCCACAUCAGUUAUUUUUCCCGUCAAAAGAAAACGAGACUUAAUUGGUCUAGGACAGUGGUUCUCAAAGUAAAGUCCAGAGAUUCUCUGGUGGUCUCUGAAACCCUUUCAGAAGGUCUGCAAAUUCAAAUUAAUUUUUUUUUCUAAUAUGGUAAAUAUCUAUCAAUAUAACCCAUAUAAACAAAAAAUUCUUCAGACAGAUCCUCAAUAGUUUUUUAAAUAGUACAAAGAUAGUGAAAACAAAAGUUUGAGAACCACUGGUCCAGGGCAUGAAGACUCAAACUCUAAUUACCUUCCCAGUUGUUUAAAGCAUAAAAGCAUAGAAGUAAUGGGGGCUUCCUUAUGCCUGAUGGACUUCUCAUUGAUGUGUGAAUCAAUGCCCUUCUGAUGUGAUGCUCCCAUCAUGGCAAAUACAGAAGUGAAUCAAUCGAAUCAAUGUCAUAUCUUGGCUCUUUAAAUUUCCCACGUUAUUGUUAGGUAAACUUCUUUCGUUAAAUGUUAAAUCUAUGAGUACACUGGCAGUGUGAGUACCUGCGCUGCUAGGUGAGACACUGGAUAGAGCCUGGGUCUGGGGUUUUGACUUCAAAUUAGCUAGAUGAUCUCGGGUAAAUCACUUUACCACUACUUGCCUCAGUUUCCUCAACUGUAAAAAGGGGUUAAAAUAACACAUAUUUCACAGGGUUGUUGUGAAGAUCAAAUAAGAUAUUUGCACAGUGCUUAGUCCAGUA